UUAAUUAGAAAAAAAUUAUUUUAAAUAUAUUGUAUUUUACAUAAUAUUUAAAUACAAAAUAAAUAUGAAUUUAUAAAUAAAAUUAUCAAUGUUGAUACAUAUAUCAUUGUUUAUUUUUUUAUGUCAUUGAAUACAUCCUCUAAAUGUAUAUUUAAAUUAUGAAUAUUAUCGUUGAUUGUCAUAAAUUAUAUCUUAUAUAUAUAUAUAUAUAUAUAUAUAUAUAUAUUUUAAUAAAACAACCUCAAAAUAUCUAUUAUUACUUCUUAUAUGAUUUCUUAGAGUUUUUUCUCAACAUUUUUCAUAAAUUUUGAUUAAUUUUUAUCAUUGAUAUCUUGUAUCAAAAUAUCCAUCAAUAUUUUUCGAUAUAUUCCGAUACAUCUAUAAAAUUAAACUACUGACUGAUAUAUUCAUAAAAAUGAAUAUUUUUAUUCUUGAUCAUAGUCAUAUAUUUUCAAUUUUCUUAUACAAAUAAAUUAUUCAUUUUAUUCUUUAAUAAUAUAUUCAAAUAUACAUUUGAUAUUGUUCAGUCAUUUGAUAUAAAUCAUCCUCCAAAUAUCAUUACGAUCCAAAUAUCUUAAUUCACCAUCUCUCAGCACUUCUGAUUUCUUUUCUUUUUUUCUUUUUCUUUUUUUUUUAAAUCUACAUAUUUAUCCUAUUUAGGAUUUUUUUUAUUUUCCUUUUUUCUUUCACUUUUAUUUCCAUUUUACAUAAAUAUUUAUUUAUUUUUAUUUCUCAUACAAGUAUAGAUACAAAAUGAAUGCAUUAAUAAUACUCAAUUUUAAACACAUAAACUUAAUACUUUUUUAUCACAAUUUAGACAUAUAAUAAACCUGAAAUUUAUAAAAUUUAAAUUACCACCAUUUCAUAAUUCUAUAAAUAAUUUUUAUUAUUUAUCAUAUUAAUAUGUCAUUAACUAAGAAUCCUAAAUUUCACACAUCAAAUUAUUUUAAAUUUGGUUCCUUAUUAAUUCCAACCUUUCUGAUUUUAUAUAUUAAUAUUCCGAAAAAUAAAUUUUAUUUUAUUUUAUUUAGUCAUUUAUUUAUAUCCCAAGCUUCUAUAUUUUCAAAGAUUCCUUCUCAAUAAUAAUUUCAACUUGAAUCUCUAAAGGUCAAGGCUCUCUGUAAGUAGCCAUGUUUUUAAAGUUUUAUCUCAAUGUAAGCUAACGGAUAGGCAUUUGUGAGACUUUUUAGGGAAAUCCAUGCAAAGCCAAAGGGGAAUAUGUGAAAAUUGAUUUUUUAAAGAAAAAAUGUUUAGAAUUAUUAGAGUUUGUUUCAAACAAAGCCCAAGAGAAUAUAUGUUUAGUAUAAAUUGAGUAUUUGAAAGGAAUAUUUAAAUAAAGGAUUUUCUUAUUGGAUGUUUGGUAAAUCAAGCCAACUUAAUAACUUAAAGAGAUUUAAUAACUUAAUUUAAGUUUAAUGUGGACCCCAUAUUUUCGCACGAUGCGUUCCCACUCAAUGGCGAAACUCACUUUUUAUUUAUUUAUUUGGUGAAAAAAUAUGAUUUUUAGAAAAGACUUGGAGUUGCCACUUAUUUUUGUUUCAUUGUUAAAGGGAAAACAAAAUAAGAAAGAAAACCCUAAGUGUGACUCCUUAUUUGGAAAAGAUGGUCUGUGAAAAACCAAAUCUGGGCUUAGGGGUCAAGUUACUUAUUGGGAAGGUACGAUAAAGACCGUAGCACCCCUCUAGGCCCUUAAAAUGGGUCUCUACUAAAUAUGAUGAAGCAGACAUGACAAUUAACUAGUAGAUCAGGGGAUACCCAAAAUGAUAUUACACUAGAAGCCAAACAUGCAUGGAUAAUGGUCAAAGUGAGAGCGUGUGCAUACCUUAGCAGCAAAUGAUAAUGCGCUAUCAUGAAAUGGGGUUAGUGCAUAAUAAUGAGCAUAAAAUAUGUCACAUGCAUCACUAAACAGGAUAAGAAACUACCAAUGUCACACAUGACACUUCACUCAAUUUUUUUUUUUUUUUUUAAGAAGACGUCACUGAUGUUGGGUCCCCACCAAAGCCCAAUUUAUUUUUGCAUGAAUCAAUUCCAUAAAUUCCAUCACUUUGGAAUUACAGAAUUUAAUUCAUACUUAUUUUAAAACAUUUAAAAAUCAAGGAAAAUAUGAAAUGAAGCUUGCCGGAAAGAAAAUGGCAAUAAAUUUUAUUGAAAAAUGGAUUUUUGGGGCCUAAAAAAUCUAUGCAUGAAAAAUUGAAGAGUUGAAAUGAUUUGGAAACCAGAAUUUUCUAAAAUUAGUUUUGAAGGACAUGGGCUUUGACAAUGGGCCUAGGAAGGUGUACAUGCAAAAAUGGGGUCAUGCACGUGGACGUGGGGUGCAACUAAUACUACAUUGGUGGUUGAAUGUGGGAUACCAACAACAGAGAGAGUUGAGGUGGACUGUCCAAAAGCAGAAGUCGUUUCCCAAGAAAGGUGUUGAAGAUUGGAACAAUGGUGAUGAUUGAGUGUUACCAAAAUUUAAGCCAGAACCAAAUGCUAGAGUUAUUCCCUAAGUUGAAGUGGAACCAAAAACUGAAGGUGAUGACCCAAAGCUUGAUGAGCUUGAUGCUCCAAAAAAAGACGGAGAAGAACUAGCUUCAAAUGGAUGAGUUGAUGAUGUUCCAAAUAUAGAAGGUGUUGCAGAUGAAGUCGAUCUAAGAAUAAGGGUGCUUGGAGCACUAAAUGCUCCACUAAAUGCAAAGACUGGGGCGCUUGAAGCACCAAAUGCAUUGCAUGUGCUACCAAAUGUUGAAGUUGGCAUUGAACUAAAGGCAAAAGUGUUUGUAGCACUAAACACGGAUGUAGUACUAGCAGCACCAAAUGCUGGUGUGCUUGUGGCCGCAAAGGCCGAGGUGUUACUAGCACUGAAUGCAGCUUGACUUGCACUAAAAGACGUAGAGGAACCAAAUAGACUGCUUAUGAAUGUUGGUUGCGCCUAUUGAAAAGCACUUCCAAAAGGACUUGUUUGAAUAGGAGUAGACCCAAAACCUCCAAAACCUAGCUUGUGCCCAAAUAUAAAGAUCAACCAAAUGAUGAUGACGUACUACUAAAAGCAAGAGUUGAAGAAGCUCUAAAAGCAGGCAUUGAACUUCUAAAAGCCGGUGAGGAAGAAGUGCCAAAUGUUGUUGUGGAAGGCAAUGAGGAAGAAGAUCGGGUUGCACCCAAACACACUAGUUAAAGUGCCACCAAAUAUUGAAGACACCAAGGUUGGGAACAAGCACGCACAGACUACACACGCAUGAGAAGGAAAGGGAAGAAAUUCAAGUGAAAGAAAUAGUGAGAAUAAUGGGUUUGGAGGUGGGACGAAUGGGAAAGGUGGUGAGAUAAGUGGGUUUAUGGGUUGGGUGUUGAGUGGAACUGUAGAUAGUGAAGGAAGUGGGUUCGGUGAUGGAACCAGUUGUUGGAAAUGGGCAUGAUAGAUGAGGAGUGAUUGAAUGGGCAUAGUGAUAGGUGUGUUGGAUAUGAAGGGUAGUAAGUUUUGCAAAGGUUUUAUGGGGCCAUGCAUGCAUGAUUCCCGUGCAUGUGGGUAGGAAACAAAUAGCUGGGCAAUAGGUUGGGCAGGUGUGAAUGAAGUUGAAGGCGGGAGUGUGGUGACGGGUUCAGUGGAUUGGUGGAAGGUUGAUUAGUGGAAUGACCUAUCUCCUUUGCGAUUGCCAAUUGAUCACUUGUAAUCAUCUUAACACAAACUCCAAGGUUAAGUGCCCUGUAGAUGGUCUCAACACUAUCAUGUCUUGGAGGAUCAAACAAGGGAAACAACCCACAAAAUGUCCAAGGACCUCCAGAACUUUCUUUAGUUUGUUCUAGAACCUUCUAAUAUGCAACCCCAAGAGAUCGCAAACCCUUUUCAGCGAACUUGUCAAUAAUGGCAUGGACUUUUCCAGCAAUUUCUUUUUUUUUCUUGGCAACGAUUUAGAAUAUGUUCAAGAGCUUCUUUACUGGCCCGAAUCCAGUUAGUAAUUGCAGUACGCUUGUCCACGGGAUUAAAAGGCAGAAAAUGCAUUUCUAUGAUGUUUGCGCGUGCCUCCUUUUCGAACUAGCAUCAAUACUCUCCAUUUCAGCCAAGUUACAAGCUUGGCAUAUUGGAAUCAGUAGCCCAGUAGAGAGAGUCAACUCCACGUCAAUCGCUUUGAUCGAAAGUUCUGUCAUUAUUGCUGCCUAAAUAUAGACUUUGUACAGUGGCUCAUAAUUCCCAACUUCAAAGUGUUGUUAAGGUGGUGCCCUCCAAAUCCCACUUUGAGUGUCAAGAUGGUUGUGUGAAGAUUGGCAUUUGAUUACAGACUCAUCAGGCUUGAGCAUUCGAAGCUAAGAAGUUCUGGAAGAUAGCAAAUAUAAGGACUUUGAGAAUCAACCAAUCACUCACAUGAAGCAAUAACAAUACCCAUGCGAUCAUUGGCCAACUUAGGUCCUACACCCAGUAGCGGUGACUCAGAAUAUAUUUCCACUAAACCAAUCCCAAAUUACAGUAGUUGUCUUCUUAAGCAAACCAACAAACUUAGAUCGAGCCCAUGUUUAAUAGUGAUUAGAGACUUCUCAUAUGAAGAAAAUUGCUAGCAGAUAACUUUACCAUUUUUGGUCCAUAUGUGACAAACUUUAGCAAGGGUUGAAUCAUCUUUAGAAAGUUGACAGCAUGUAGCUUUCCCGUCUGAUUUGGGACUCCUUUUAUGCUUAGUUGUGUCAUACAGAUCCUUACAACCACUGUUAUUGAUAUAGUGGUUAUGUUCCAGGUUCAGUUGACGGGGUGCAUCUGUCAGCACGGUAGAGGCUCCGACCAAAGCAUUAACAGCACCAACCUUCUCAUAAUGAUUUAACUCAAGUUUCUUUUCUCUAGACUUUCCAAUGCAGUCUAUAUAGUUCUUCAGGCAUCCGAAAAUCUCCAACCGUAUGGAAAAUGGCUCUCAUGGGGCUCUCCCAAAAACACCCUCCCCGAACUAAGGUGGCCAACCGUAAAUGAGAUAUUUAACACCCUAAGCACAACAAAAAUAUAGGAAUAAAAGCAAAGAUAGGAAUCAAAAGGAACAUUGAGGGUAGAGUAAGUAGGAGAACAUGAAACACAUAGAUGUACAGGGCCUCAUUCCAGGUGACGUCCAUGGGCUCAAAACAGGUGGGAUUAACAAAUCAAAGAAAACCCAAAAAUAGAUCAUGUAUAUAGAAGACUACAUUCAACUAAAACAAACAAAUAACUCUUCCUACCCACACCAAAACAACAAAUUAAUGCUUAAAACUGAGCUAGAAGUGUCAAGAUGAGUUUAAACAGGAGUUAAAACAUGGCUCCUUGGACAUCAGUCAGCAAACAACAUUCAAGAGUCAAUAGAAACAUUGAACAACGUUUAUCAUCCAAUAAUCAAAAGGAUAAGAGAAUAAUGGAAGAUGAAAUGUCUAAAGUUCAUACCAGCAAAUUGCCUUCCUACUAACAAGACUAGCUCGGCUUCAAGCAACUCUAUUUCUUCUUUCAAACCUCCAACAAAACCAUAGCAAAAUCAGCUUCCCUUUAUCUUCCCUGAACCUAAUCACCCUACUAAUGCCCAGCUCAACACCUCUCUGUACUCUUUUUUUCUUCUUUCAAAAUCCCUCCAAACACUCUCUAAUCCCUUUCUCUUUCUUUCUUUCCUCUUCCUCCCAAUUGGUUCAUCUCAAGCCUUUCUCUCACAGUCCCCGUUUCUUCUCACUCUAUUCUUAGCUUUUUUUUUUCUUUUCUUUUCAGCUCCCCUUUCUUCCUCUCAGUUGCCACCUCUUGUUCUUGCUAAAAAAAAACCUCAUUUUCCUAUCUCUACACUAGCUCAUUUUUCUUCUCAAAACGAUCCCUAUUUUUUGUCCAGCUUUCAAAACCCCCACCUAUUGAAAACCUCUUCAAUCCCACUCCCCCUCUCCAUCCCGUUUUCAGUUUUUUUAUUUAUUUUUUCUCUUCAAAUCCUCAUUUCCAAGCUUUAGUUUUUCUCUUAAAAAAACUCGUCAUCUCCUAGUCUCAUCCUCUCCCUCAAAACAACUCACCCAUGCUCUGUUUUUAUUUCACUUCUAGUCUCAUCCUCCAUAUGUUCCAUUGUUCUCGGUUCAGCGAAUACGUCACCACCCUCAACCACCACCAUGGCGAGUUGGUGACAUCUUUUGCCAUGCAUCUCAAUCAUGCAACUUGGCCAUCUCAUGGAGAGGUCGUCCCCCACUCUUUGCCCAACUCACUCUUAGGGUGGUAAGAAAAAAAAAUUCUUCCAUCCGACGGGUCUACAAAUAUGCCCCUCUUCAGUAGAGUUCACGAGUGUAAGGAAUAUGAAUACUAGAGUGAAAAGAAAGUGUGAAUAAUGAGUGAAAUGAAGUGAACUCUACCGAAGAAAAGAAAGACCCCUAAAGGUACAUAAGUAGAACACAAACUCGCUCAAACUAAAAAUGAACAAAAGGGGUUCUAAAAUAUUAAGAGAAGGGUAGCACUCGGAGUGCCUCUAAAGUUGCGCUAUGGAUCCAAACUCCCUCUAAGAUGUCUCCAAAAGUGACUUGAAGAUCAAUAUCAAAGUUGAGUAGUAAUCGAACAACCUAGGAGCAGAGAGACGAACAUAUAUAAAAGGAAAACUACACAUGCACCACACAAGAGCACGAAGUGAGGGGCUCCAAUGAUACAAUCAAAACACAAGCUACGAGCUCAAAGAGCUAUAUCACACACAAUAAAGGAGAACAAACUCUGGAAAAUCACGACUUCGAAUGCCUGAAAUAUGGCUCUAAACGCCAAGACUGAGACGAAUGAUUUUUAACAACUAAACUAUGACUUUAAAAGCCUGUGAGAGGAAUGGCUCUGAAGGCCUACGAAAAUGGUGGCUCUAACCACCUAAAAUUGUAGAAGUGAGUGGCUCUAAACGCCUAAAACUCGAAGAUAUGACUCUGAACGCCUAAAUUAGAAAAGAUGGCUUUGAACGCUUAAACUGGAAGAGAUGGAUCUGAACGCUUGUACUGAAGACAUGACUCCGAAUGCCUAUACUGAAUACAUGGCUCUGAACGCCAAACUAUGGAGAGAUAAUGGCUCUAAACGCUUGAAACUGGAAGAGAUGGCUCUAAAUGCCUAGGAAGGAAAAUGGUGGCUCUGAACGCCUAAAAGGUGAAAAUGGCUCUGGAUGGUGAGCUCAAGGCUCUAAAUGGUAAGGAUGACUCUAGGUCAUAAAUAAGAAGAACGACUUUGGGUCGUGAGCUCAGGGCUCUAACUGCUAAGAAUGACUCUAAGUCAUAAAUAAGAAGAAUGACUCUGAAUCGUGAGCUCAAGGCUCUAAAUGCUAAGAAUGACUCUAGGUCAUAAAUAUGAAGAACAACUCUGGGUUAUGAGCUCAAGGCUCUAAAUGCAAAGAAUGACUCUGGAUCAUAAAUAAGAAGAACGAAUCUGGGUUGUGAGCUUAGGGCUCUAAAUGUUAAGAAUGACUUUGGGUCAUAAAUAAGAAGAAUGACUCUGGGUCGUGAGCUCAGGGCUCUAAGUUCUAAGAAUGACUCUGGGUCAUAAAUAAGAAGAACGAAUCUGGGUCGUGAGCUCAAGGCUCUAAAUGCUAAGAAUGACUCUGGGUCAUAAAUCAGAAGAACGACUCUAAGUCGUGAGCUUAGGGCUAUAAAUACAAAGAAUAACUUUGGGUCAUAAAUAAGAAGAACGACUCUAGGUCAUGAGCUCAGGUCCCUAAAUGCUAAGAAUGACUCUAGGUCAUAAAUGAGAACAACGACUCUAAGUCAUCAGCUCAAAGCUCUAAAUGGUAAAAAUGACUCUCGGUCACAAAUAAGAAGAAUGACUCUGAGUUGUGAGCUCGUGGCUCUAAAUGCUAAGAAUGACUCUAGGUCAUAAAUGAGAAGAACGACUUUAGGUCGUGAGCUCAAGACUCAAAAUGCUAAAAAUGAAUCUAGGUCAUAAAUAAGAAGAAUGACUCUAGGUUGUGAGCUUUGGGCUCUAAAUGCUAAGAAUAACUCUGGGUCAUAAAUAAGAAGAACGAAUUUGGGUUGUGAGCUCAGGGCUCUAAAUGCUAAGAAUGACUUUGGGUCAUAAAUAAGAAGAACGAAUAUGGGUCAUGAGCUCAAGGCUCUAAGUGCUAAGAAUGAGUCUAGGUCAUAAAUAAGAAGAACGACUAUGGGUCUUGAGCUCAAGACUCUAAAUGCUAAGAAUGACUCUGGGUCAUAAAUAAGAAAAACGACUCUAGGUCAUGAGCUUAACGCUAUAAAUGCUAAGAAUAACUCUAGGUCAUAAAUAAGAAGAACGACUCUAGGUCGUGAGCUCAAGGCUCUAAAUGCUAAGAAUGAAUCUGGGUCAUAAAUGAAAAGAACAACUAUAGGUCGUGAGCUCAGGGCUCUUAAUGCUAAGAAUGACUCUAGGUCAUAAAUAAAAAGAACGACUCUAGGUCGUGAGCUCAGGGCUCUAAAUGCUAAGAUUGACUCUAGGUCAUAAACAAGAAGAACGACUUUAGGUCAUGAGCUCAGGGCUCUAAAUGCUAAGAAUGACUCAGGGUCAUAAACAAGAAGAACGACUUUGGGUCGGGAGCUCAGGGCUCUAAAUGCUAUGAAUGACCCUGGGUAAUAAAUAAGAAGAACGACUUUAGACCGUGAGCUCAAGGCUCUAAAUGCUAAGAAUGACUCUGGGUCAUAAAUGACAAGAAUGACUCUAAGUCAUGAGCUCAGGGCUCUAAAUGCUAAGAAUGACUUUAGGUCAUAAAUGAGAAGAACGACUCGAGGUCGUGAGCUCAAGGCUCUAAAUGCUAAGAAUAACUCUAGGUCAUAAAUUAGAAGAACGACUCUAGGUUGUGAGCUCAGGGCUCUAAAUGCUAAGAAUGACUCUUGCUCACAAAUGAGAAGAACGACUUUAGGUUGUGACCUCCGGGCUCUAAAUGCUAAGAAUGAAUCUGGGUCAUAAAUGAGAAUAACGACUCUAGGUCGUGAGCUCAAGGCUCUAAAUGCUAAGAAUGACUCUAGGUCAUAAUUGAGAGGGACGACUCUGGGUCAUGAGAUUAGGGCUCUAAAAGCUAAGAAUGACUCUAGGUUAUAAAUGAGAAUAACAACUCUAGGUUGUGACCUCAGGGCUCUAAAUGCUAAGAAUGAUUCUGAGUCAUAAAUAAGAAGAAUGACUUUAAGUCAUGAGCUCGGGGCUUUAAAUGCUAAGAAUGACUCUGGGUCAUAAAUUAGAAGAACGAAUCUAGGUCAUGAGCUCAGGGCUCUAAAUGCUAGGAAUGACCCUAAGUCAUAAAUAAGAAAAACGACUUUGGGUCGUGAGCUAAGGGCUCUAAAUGCUAAGAAUGACUCUAGGUCAUAAAUAAGAAGAACGACUUUGGGUCGUGAGCUCAGGGCGCUAAGUGCUAAGAAUAAUUCUGGGUCAUAAAUAAGAAGAAUGACUCUAGGUCGUGAUCUCAAGGCUCUAAAUGCUAAGAAUGUCUCUAAGUCAUAAAUAAGAAUAACAAAUCUAAGUCGUGAGCUCAGGGCUCUAAAUGCUAAGAAUGAAUCUAGGUCAUAAAUAAGAAGAACGACUUUGGGUCGUGAGCUCAGGGCUCUAAAUGCUAAGUAACGACUCUAGGUCGUGAGCUCAGGGCUCUAAAUUCUAAGAAUGGCUCUAGGUCAAAAAUGAGAAGAACGACUUUGGGUCAUGAGCUCAGGGCUCUAAAUACUAAGAAUGACUCUGGAUCAUAAAUAAGAAGAACGACUCUGGGUCGUGAGCUUAGGGCUCUAAAUAUCUAAAGUGAAGAAGACGACUCUGAAUUAUAUACUAAAAGAAAAUGACAACUCUAAAUGUUAGCCAUGUAGCUUUGAACAUCGAACUAAAAGAAAAUAGUGGCUCUAAAUGCCAGGCAGAUUAGUGGCUCUAAAUGCUAAACUGAAGAAAUAUGAUGGCAUCUGAAUGCCAAGUUGACCAAUGGCUCUGAGUGCCAAACUGUGAAAGAUAGUUGAAGGGGAAUAUGCCCCAGUGUGGUGUGUUGUCACAACUUUCGAUCCACAAAUCAUAGAACCUUUAGCUCAAGAUACUCUGCUGGUUGUAGUCUCAAAUGAAUGACCCACUGGGGAGUCUCAGGAAAAAUAGUCCAUUGGGGAAGCUAUCACCACAUCAACAUAACAAUCUACUGAAGAGUGAUAUGUACUAGGACGGUCAAAACUCCCCCGAAGGCUCAUCUCGACAAAAUCAUCAAAACUAGAACCAACAAAGAAGACUAUAAAAGCUAAGUAAGAAAUCAAUCAUCUCGACAAUAGAAAAAAUGAGGAAUAUGCCCCAGUAUAGCAACUGAUGCAUCCCGCUAUGCAUGUAACCAAGGAAAAUAUGCCCCAAUAUAGCAACUAGUACAUCUAAUCCGUCCUGAUGACUUGAGAAUAACUCACUGAGGAUGUAUAAGAGAUUUGACAUGCACUCCACUGAAAUGAUGAUAGGCCUAGAAGCUAACUGAGUCAACAAACCACCCUCCAUGAGCUUCUGGAAAGCUCGGCUCAAAGGCAUACCUAGCUGGGAGAACUGUCAUGUCGACCUCUACACAAAAGGAUUAGUAGUUUGUGGGGCUCGGGGCCAAGGGUAUAAAGUGGGAGGUCUCUUUAAGACCUGUGUAGUAAAAACAGACUUUGAGGUCGAGUGUACGUAUGUAAGAGUCAAGGGCCUGGAGAGAGCGGGCGGCCUAUACUGAACAUAAUGCUGUGAGUAGUAAGCUCCUAAAGUCUGCCCAACUAUCUGAUAGCGUUUAGGAGGUCUCAGUCUUGUUGAAUUAAUAAUACUCACAUCUCCUGGUCUCUAUCCUCCUAAGUGCUUCUUCCCAUUUGAAUCAGAAGGAGAAGACUCGGGCCACAAUCCUUUAGCAAUGACCUCUUUUAUACCAUACAAUGCCUACACCAAAGAGCCAAAGUCCACGUGUGGGAAUCCCAUCAAAUGCCUAGCAAAUCGAGACAACAAACUCCUCAUAAUCAUGUUGAUCUGAUCCCUCUCAGAUGGCCUAUCAAUGAUUUGGGCAAUCUUCUCCCUCCAACGGGAAAUGAAUGAUGUGACUGUCUCAUCGGGCUUUUGCCUCAAGGCUUCCGACUUCCUCCGUGAGACAUCUAUGAUAGUGUUAAAUGCAAACUGUCGUAGGAACUCUUGGGCUAAAUCAUCCAAUGUACGAUGGCGUGACACAUCCAAAGAAGCAAACCAACGGUGGGCCGCCCCACUCAAGGACUUGGGGAAUAGCAUAAUCAUUUGAGCCUCAUCCAAAUCAUGGGCCCUCAUCACAGUACUAUAUAGUCUCACAUGAAUAGGGGGCAUCCAAUCCCCGUGUAUCGGUCAAUCUCUGGCAUCCCGAACUUGGCCGAUAAACUGGCCAGUGGUGUUCCAUCAAAAUCCUCCCGGGUAAUAGCUUCGUUUGAAGUCCUCAUCUGUUUCAUCCUCUGCUCAAGUCUAUCCAUACGAGCAUGUGGGUCCUCUAGGAUUAGGGUAGGCACUAUGACAGGAGGCAGGGCAACCUCGGUCUGACUCUGUAAAGUAAAUCGAGUAGGCUGUGGAACUAUCCAACCAAGUGGAGGAGGUGGCGGAAUAAUGAGACCAUACUGCACACCCUCUUGAAUUAGAACCCGUUGGGCCUGCUGCCCAUCCAUCCUCUAACCAAGACUAGUUAUGGCCUCUUAGAUCGAAGCCAUAACAGUAGUGAAUUGAUCAAUUGUAACCACCUGUGAAUCCAUAUUUUUCUGAUCUAACUGGUCUGACACUCUGAUCAAUCUACCUCCAACUUUGAUCUAAGAAGCUGAACCCAGAUCGAACGUAUCAAUACUUCUACAAUAGUGGAAAUACUAGAUAAGAUACAGUGUAAGGGAAACUUUAUGAGGAAUGUCUAUCAACUAUGCAGGAAGGUAACCUGGAAGUAUUCAAACUAAUAUCCAAUUUUGAGCAAAUAUAUAAGAGACUACUACGAAGGUAACUAAACCUAUCACUAUUGACCCGACUCUAAAGGCCCAUAGAUGCACCCACAUGUAAGAAGGGAAUCCUAAUAAGAGGAUUUAAGGCUCAACCUACAAGGCCAAAGGUGGCUCUAAAAGGAAAAUGGUGGACUUUAAAGGAUCCCCAACAUAAGUGAUCAUACCCUCCAACGGUACACACCUCUGAAAAGACAGGGCGUUUCCAUGCAAGGUGGUCAUCACUUCCACACAUGCACUACCUCGACAUCCUAGGGGGGUUUCCUAUAGUGAAAGUUUUUGCAACUCUCAACACUCAGUAUUCAACUAAAAUGCACAGUGAGUGGUGUGGGUGCAUCCGAAAAGCCUAUAAAGCUAAAGCAUAAAAAGAAACACAUUGGUCACACAAAUAUCCAUGAAACCUAGCUCUGGGCUAUACAGGUCUUCAAAGAUCGGACUCCCAUCAACAUCAAUGUGUCAGUCUCCUCCAGAAUGCUCUCAAACAUCGAUAUAGCCCGUCUUUAGACCCUACUCCUAACCUCUAGCUCGGUCAGAGACAAGCACACACAAGGCCUCACACUUGCAAAUGUAAGAACUGAAAGAAAAUGAAAUGACCAAAACCAUAGGGUUGGAGGUCAAGGGAUAGUUAUGCGAUCCACAUGGACAAGCAACAUGAAAACACACAUGAGAAGAGCAAUCAUGCACCAAGCAGCCAUGAAAAGAAUAGGUAUAUCACCUAUGUCCACACACAAGCUAAACGAGAAUAUGACAAUCAAAAUGAAUAGCAACAAAUAUAACAUGAUAAAAAAUUAAUCAAGAUAAUAUACAAGCAAGAGAAAUAACACUAAGACAAAUGAGAUAUACAACAAUAUGAGCAUACAUGUCAAAAUGAGCAGGAUAAUCAUGGCAAAAACAGAGUCAAUAUGUUAAGACAGGCAAGAGAAUCAAUGAAUAUCAUCACCAUGUCAAUGUAGCAAAUGGAUAUAACAAUCAAGCAUAGAAAAUCGCCACAUCAAAAUCCUCAAUGUGCUAUGAUCACUCAAGCAUAGAGAAGCAACAAGGGAAGGUAUCCAUCAAUUGAUUAAUCAAACGCCACAUUUGCCUCAUCUUAAGUUCAAGUUUGACCCUUUAAACAUCCCCAGCGGAGUCGCCAUUUUUUGGACCCCGUAUUUUCGCACAAUGCAUUCCUACUCGAUGGCGAAAUUCACUUUUUAUUUAUUUAUUUAUUUGGUGAAAAAAAAUAUGAUUUUUAGAAAAGACUUAGAGUCACCACUUAUUUUUGUUUCAUUUUUAAAGGGAAAACAAAAUAAGAAAGAAAACCCUAAGUGUGGCUCCUUAUUUGGAAAAUAUGGUAUGUGAAAAAUCAAAUCUGAGUUCGGGGGUCAAGUUACUUAUUAGGAAAGUAUGGUAAAAACUGUAGCACCCCUCUAAGCCCCUAAAAUAUGUCUCUACUAAAUAUGAUGAAGCAGACAUGGCAAUUAACAAGUAAAUCAAGAGAUACCCAAAAUGAUAUUACACUAUAAGCCAAACAUGCAUGGAUAAUGGUCAAAGUGAGAAUGUGUGCGUACCUUAGCAGCAAACGAUAAUGCGCUAUCAUGAAAUGGGGUUAGUGCACAAUAAUGAGCAUAAAAUAUGUCACAUGCAUAACUAAACAGGAUAAAAAAAAACUACCAGUGGCACACAUGGCACUUCACUCUAUUUUUUUUUUUUUAAGAAGACGUCACUGAUGUUAGCCCCCCACCAAAGCCCAAUUUAUUUUUGCAUGAAUCAAUUCCAUAAAUUCCAUCACUUUGGAAUUACAGAAUUUAAUUCAUACUUAUUUUAAAACAUUUAAAAAUCAAGGAAAAUGUGAAAUGAUGCUUGCCGAAAAGAAAAUGGCAGUAAAUUUUAUUGAAAAAUGGAUUUUUGGGGCCUAAAAAAUCUAAGGAUGAAAAAUUGAAGAGUUGAAAUUAAUUGGAAACCAGAAUUUUCUAAAAUCAUUUUUUAAGGACAUGGGCUUUGAUAAUGGGCCUAGGAAGGUGGCCGUGCAAAAAUGGGGUCAUGCACGUGGGUCCAAGGUGCAACUAAUACUACACUGGUGGUUGAAUGUGGGAUACUAACAAUAGAGAGAGUUGAGGUGGACUAUCCAAAAGCAGAAGUCGUCUGCCCAAGAGAAGGUGUUGAAGAUUGGAACAAUGGUGAUGAUUGAGUGUUACCAAAAUUUAAGUUAGAACCAAAUGUUGGAGCUAUUCCCUAAGUUGAAGUGGAACCAAAAAUUGAAAGUGAUGACCCAAAGCCUGAUGAGCUUGAUGCUCCAAAAAGAGACGAAGAAGAACUUGCUUCAAAUGGAGGAGUUGAUGAUGUUCCAAAUAUAGAAGGUGUUGUAGAUGAAGUCGAUCCAAGAACAAGGGUGCUUGGAGUGCUAAAUGCUCCACUAGAUGCAAAGACUACGGCACUUGAAGCACCAAAUGCACUGCCUGUGCUACCAAAUGUUGGACUUAGCGUUGAACCAAAGGCAGAAGUGUUUGUAGCACCAAACGUGGGCGUAGUACUAGCAGCACAAAAUGCUGGUGUGCUUGUGGCCGCAAAGGUUGGGGUGUUACUAGCACCGAAUGCAGCUUGACUUGCACUAAAAGACGUAGAGGAACCAAAUAGACUGCUUAUAAAUGUUGGUUGCACAUGUUGAAAAGCACUUCCAAAAGGACUUGUUUGAAUAGGAAUGGACCCAAAACCUCCAAAACCUGGUUUAUGCCCAAAUAUAGAAGAUAUGCCAAAUGAUGAUGACGCACUACCAAAAGUUGGAGUUGAAGAAGCUCCAAAAGCAGGCAUUGAACUUCCAAAAGACGGUGAUGAAGAAGCACCAAAUGUUGUUGUGGAAGGCAAUGGAGGAGAAGAUCGGGUUGCACCCAAACACACCAGUUAAAGUGCCACCAAAUAUUGAAGACACCAAGGUUGGGAACAAGCACGCACGGGCUGCACACGCAUGAAAAGGAAAUGGAAGAAAUUCAAGUGAAAGAAAUAGUGAGAAUAAUGGGUUUGGAGAUAGGACGAGUGGGAAAGGUGGUGAGAUAAGUGGGUUUAUAGGGUUGGGUGUUGAGUAGAACUGUAGACAAUGAAGGAAGUGAGUUCGAUGAUGGAACCAGUUGCUGGCAGUGGGCAUGAUAGAUGAUGAGUGAUUGGAGGGGCACGAUGAUGGGUGUGGUGGGUAUGAAGGGUAGUAAGUUUUAAAAAGGUUUUGUGGGGCCAUGCAUGCACGAUUCCCGUGCAUGUGGGUAGGAAACGAAUAGAUGGGCAAUAGGUUAGGCAAGUGUGAAUGAAGUUGAAGGUGGGAGUGUGGUGAUGGGUUCAGUGGAUUGGUAGAAGGUUGAUUAGUGGAAUGACCUAUCUCCUUUGCGAUUGACAACUGAUUACCUGUAAUCAUCUUAACACAAACUCCAAGGUUAAGUGCCCUGCGGAUGGUCUCAGCACUGUCAUGCCUUGGAGGAUCAAACAAGGGCAACAACCCACAAAAUGUCCAAGGACCUCCAGGACUUUCUUUAGUUUGUUCUGGAACCUCCUAAUAUGCAACCCCAAGAGAUCGUAAACCCCUUUCAGCGAACUUGUCAAUAAUGGCAUGGACUUUUCCAACAAUUUCUUCUUUCUCUUGGCAAAGAUUUAGAAUUUGUUUAGGAACUCCUUUGUUGGACCGAAUCCAGUUACCAUUAGAAUCAAUGUAAGUAAUUGUAGUACGCUUGUCCAUAAGAUUGAAAGACAGAAAAUGUAUUUCUGUGAUGUUUGCGCGUGCCUCCUUUUCGAGCUAGCAUCAAUAACUCUCCCUUGUAGCCAAGUUACAAGUUUGGCAUAUUAGAAUCAGUAAGCCCAGUAGAGAGAGUCAACUCCACAUUAGUCACUUUGAUCAAAAGUUCUGUCAUUGUUGCUACCCAAAUAUAGACUUUGCACAGUGGCUUAUAAUUCCCGACUUCAAAGUGUUGCUAUGGCGGUGCCCUCCAAAUCCCACUUUGAGUGUCAAGAUGGUUGUGUGAAGAUUGGCAUCUGAUUGUAGACUCAUUAGGCUUGAGCAUCCGAAGUUGAGAAGUUCUGGAAGAUAGCAAAUAUAAGGACCUUGAGAAUCAACCAAUCACUCACAUGAAAAUAUAGCAACGACACCCAUGCGGUCAUUGCCCAACUUAGAUCCUACACCCAGUAGCGAUGACUCAGAAUAUAUUUCCACUAAACCUAAUCUCAAAUUACAACAAUUGUCUACUCAAGCAAACCAACAAACUUAGAUCGAGCCCAUGUUUGACAGUGAUUAGAGACUUCCCAUAUGAAGAAAAUUGACAGCAUAUAACUUUACCAUUCUUGGUCCAUAUGCGACAAACUUUAGCAAGGGUUGAAUCAUCUGAAGAAAGUUGACAGCAUGUAGCUUUUCGGUUUGAUUUGGGACUCCUUUUAUGUUUAGUUGUGUCAUACAGAUCCUUACAACCACUGUUAUUGAUAUAGUGGUUAUGUUCCAAGUUUAGCAAACGGGGUGCAUCUAUUAGCAUAGUAGAGGCUCCGACCAAAGCAUUCACAACACCAACUUUCUCAUGAUGAUUGAACUCAAGUUUCUUUUCUAUAGACUUUCCAAUGCGGUCCAUAUAGUUUUUUAGGCAUUCGGAAAUCCCCAACCAUAUGGAAAAUGGCUCUCCCAAAAACACCCCCCCAACCAAGGUGGCCAACCCUAAAUGAGAUAUUUAACACCCCAAACACAACAAAAAAUAUAGGAAUAAAAGCAAAGACAGGAAUCAGAAGGAACACUGAGGGUAGAGUAAGUAUGAGAACAUGCAACACAUAGAUGUACAAGACCUCAUUUCAGGUGACGUCCAUAGGCUCAAAACAGGCGGGAUUAACAAAUCAAAGAAAACCCAAAAAUAGAGCCUGUAUACAGAAUACUACAUUCAACUAAAAAAAAUGAAUAACUCUUCCUACCCACACCAAAACAACAAAUUAAUGCUUAGAACCAGAGUUGGAAACAUCAGGAUGAGUUUAAACAGGAGUUAAAACAUGGCUCCUUGAACAUCAGUCGGCAAACAACAUUCAAGAGUCAACAGAAACACUAAACAUCGUUUAUCAUCCAAUAAUCAAAAGAUGGAAGAAUCUUGAAUCACAGAAAAUUUAAGUCCUUCCUUAAUUUAAAAGUUUCUUAUAGCUUCUCAUCAAAGAUAAGCUAUCAAUGAGACAACUCUUCAAAACCAUUUUAAUGUCCCUAUUGAUUACCCCCUUUCAUAAUUUAAACCAAGAAAUCAUAAUCAGGUAUAGUCUGUCUUACAUAAGCAUUUGUAUAAUGGUUAUGAAGAGCUUGCUUACACACCAUUGGACUUAUAGUUUAUAUAUUGAGUCCAAGUUGAAAUGAUGCAAUCCAAAUUAUCUUAGUGUAUUCCACUUUCAAUCCCUUAUAAUUGAAAAAUCAAGAAAACAAUGCAACACAUGGUUACUAAAGCAUUGCAUUACAUUACAAUGUACAUUAUACAAGGUUAGUCAGACAAAAGAACUACAAGCAGUAGAAUUUAUCUUUCUCUAUAUAAUAGGGUUUUUUUCAAAUUCAUUCUAUUUUUUCAUUGCUUGUAAUCUGAAUCUUUGUCUAUGAAAUUAUAGACUAAAGUAUAAAUGAAAAAUGUACAUAAAAGUAUAAAGCAACAACUAUCAUUCCCACAAAGCUUACAAAGAUGGGUUUUCUAGUAACCUCAAUCAGCAAAAACCAAGGAAUCCUUUUAAAGAAGGUGUCAGACAAAUGAUGAAUAUAUCAAAAAGUCUAUAAGAUAUUCUGGGUGCAAAUUAAAUGGCUCACCAACAACUAUGUGGAUUUUCAAAAACUAAAUCUAGUCACAAAUUUUGGCCCCCAUUUACUUUUUGCCUUUUUUUCUCAAAAAAUUCCAUUAUGAUUUUUUUUGUCUUUUUUUUCUCAAAAAAAUCGGUUAGAAAAUUGACAGCCCUUCAAUAUCAUAUCUCAUUAUCUUUGAAGAUAUGAGUAUUAAUCAAAGAAGAAAGUAGGUGGAUUUAAUCUACUUGCAGGUUUCUAAAAACAAAAGUAAAAUGUCUAAACCAAAAUUAAUUCAACAAAAAACCUCAAAGCCCUUUUUCUCUGGUUCCCAUAACAAAAAUCAUCUGUGGUCUCCUUUAUUUUUUGAGUUCUUAACAACAAUCAAUGUGGUCCCCUUCAUUUUUGGGAUCUUUAACAAAAAAAUCCAUGGUGGCCCCCUCCUUCCACAUCUGUUUUCUUUAAUGAAAACAAAACCCUUUUUGUUUAUACCAAGCUCAAGAUGAAAAUAAAAUAAAAUAACCAAACACAUCUACAAUAACAAACUAAAAUAAAAUUAAACCAAAUAGAACCAAACAUAUUUACAAGAAAAAAAAUUACUUAAACCAAAAAACUCAUAAAUCUUACCUACACUAGUAACGAAAGAAAUAAAAUGAAAAUUUGGAAAAAUAGAACCCGAACCAAGGAUGAAGCAAAAAAAGAAUGAAUGAGAGGCAAAACCCCUAAAAGGUAAGAAAUCUAAUUAAAAAUGGAAAGGAACUUAAACAGAUCAUAAAACCGUAGUUCACCAACUACGGUUUUGGUUGAUUUAAAAAAAAUAAAAAAAAAAUUCAAAAUCGUAGUUGGUGACUACGAUUUUAUAAUGUGGAAUCUUAUGUGGCUCAAACACACUAGAUUGGGCAUUAGUUUCAAUCCAGGUUUAAUUUAUGAUUUUUUUUUUAAUGUCCUAUUUUGGAUCAAAACUCCCUAAAAUGUCUCUUGCUAGUGGCCCCAAAAGGGUGCGAAAAAGGGAACCUCCCAAAAUGAGGGGUCUCCACUAAGAUUUAACUAAAUAAAUUUUUUAUAAUUAGGAUCAUCUACUCACAAGUGCAAAUUAAUCUGCUAAUCCCUAUUCCACCUGAGAUAAUUGUCCAAAAUUUCUGUAAUAAUCUUUAAAUCAAAAUAUUAUCAAGCUCAUUUACAAAAAUAAUAAAAUAGGGUUUAAGUCACAAUCAUCCAUAUUACCCAAAUUAAUACAAGCCCAAAAUUUAACUAUCAAGCUCAUUUACAAAAAUAAUAAAAUAGAGUUUAAGUCACAAUCAUCCAUAUUACCCAAAUUAAUACAAGCCUAAAAUUUAACAUAAGUUAUAACAAUUUUUUUAGGUGAUUCCUCCACUUCCUAAAACUCUCUUUGAUUUGCUUAUGGUUGCUUAGAAAUUAUAUUUUUGCAUUUAAAAAUUUAAAAAUAAAAUAUAAUAAGAUAAAAUGGAGUGAGUAUAUUACAAUGCUUCAGCCGUAAAAUCAUAUACAAAGAUAAAAUAAUUCUAUUUCAAAACCAUGCAACCAUAUACAAGAUAUAAUAAUUUAUUCACAUUAUAUAUAUAAAAUAAACUUCAGCCAUGCAAAAUUAAAUGAACCUAGAUUGUGAUUUGUCUAUCACAAUCAUAUAUCAUAUUAAUAUUUUUAAUUUUUUUACACAAAAUAAAUUAUUUAUUCCAUCCUCCAAUAUCAUAUUCAAACAUGUAUUUGAUAUUGUUAUUGUUGAAAUCCAAAAAAGAUUCAAAGAAAAAGAGAGAAAAGAAAAUUUAAGAUUUCUCAUUAUAAAUUCUCUUAAAAACAAGUACAACACCAUUAUAAUUUAAAUAGGCCUAACAAAAAGAAAAUAAAGACUAAUUUACCCUUACUUUUAAAAAGAAAGAAAAUAAUUCUAAUAUAGUAAGUAAAUAAUAAAUAUAUAGUAACUAAAUAUAUAAUUUUAAUAUAGUAACUAAAUAUAUUAAUAAGUUCUAACUUUCUCCCAAAAACUUAUGAUGAAGUUUCAAGAAACAUCAAGAGUUUGUCAACUGAAAAUAAAAAAUGUGAAAGUGAGUGUGACUAGGUAAACAACUUUACUACCAUAUUGUUGAGAAAAUCUCUUCACAACCAAUCGAGCCUUGUACCACUUAAUUAAAGUACCAAAUACCAAGUAUCAAUCUUAUGCAAAGCAAAAGGUUCUUCAUCCAUAACUUGCUGCAAAAAAAAAAAAAAAAAUCAAGAAGAACUUCUAGGAGCAAUUGUAGGAGGAAAGGAAGGAACAUACAAAUAAAAAACCAAAGUAUCAAUAUCUACGUGAAAAAAAUCUGUAUCAUCCAAGAAAUGAUCAAUGCGAAAUGUGAAUAAAUUUAGACUUAGAGACAAUAAGAGACUAAGUAGGAAUAGAAAAGGUACAUUCUCAAAGAAGUAGUAAAGAGAGAGAGAAGAAUAAAAAGAAGACAUAAAACUAAACCAUCAAGGAAAGUGAGAUAGAAGUUGUUACCCCAUGGGUUCUCCUAAUCACGUUUUGAUGAUAACAAACCAUAUUUAAGUUGUUAAUUGGUUUAAAUUAUAAAGAAUUUCAGGUGUUAGUUUGGAAAUUCAUCAAAGGACCCAAUGGAUGUAAGAUCAAGACAACUGGAAGACCUUUAAUCAUAGGAAUUAUAUGUUAGAUGAAUACAUGGGUGUACUUAAGAUUUUCAUAUCUUUUCAUAUAUCUUUAAAAAACUCGGUUUAUGCAUUUAAGUUACAUUUCCAUCAAAACUCGAGUUUUAUCAAAUGAACCUUAGGUAAAUCAUUUCAAAACUGACAUAUUAAUUUACCUAAAGCCCUUGCCUAAGUGUUAGAAGAGAAAAUAAUAGAAAAAGAUAGGUUUUUGAUUCAAAAUGUGAAUUUGUCGAGGCACUGGCCAAUCGGCUCAACUGGUUAGGGUACCGGUUGAUCGAUUACACCUUCCCAAUCGAGGUCCGGUUGAGAGAUACAAAAAAUCUUCUCUCUCUUCCAGUAGACUUGCAUUCCCGAUUUAGGGAUAUGCUUUCCCGAUCGAGGUCCAAUCGAGGUCUAAUGGUCCCUGCCAUGCAUUUAUUGUCCAAUGGAUAGUUAACCAGUUGGCCCCCAACUCAACCGAUCGAGGCUGCUUUUUGGCUUCCAAGGUUAGAAACUUAUAAAUUGAGAGUUCCACUUCAUUUAUAAGUAAGAGAACACCUGCAUUUAUUUGUCUACCUAUUUUUUCUUGCCUCAAAAACUCUCAUUAUUUCCUUGGUGUAUUAUAAAAUAAAUAGUAACUAAAUACAUAAGUUUAAUAUAGUAACUAAAUAUAUUAAUAACAUCUAAUAGUUAUUAUGUAAUUUCUUGCACACACAAUCAAGUAAAUCAAAUCAUGUGUUAUUGUUUUCUGUCUUUUACAUGUAUGCAUUUGUAUUCAAAUAUAUCCCUCUUUUGAAGUCUUUUCAAGGUAAACUUUUAUUUUAUUUUUAUUUUUUUACUCAAGAACCUCAUUCCUUUUCUAAACUACACUCUUUGGGGUCUUUCAUUCUCAGUUUAUACAACUAUUUUUUUUCAUUUUUAAAAAUCUUUUUCCAUAUAACCAUGGAUACAAAAUUAAUGCAAUAUGAUAUCAUUACCUAAUAUCAACUCAAAUCAGUAGUACCCACUAAUAUACAACAAAUAUUUUAAACACAUAAAAUGUAACACUGAACAUAUAAUGAAACUGAAAUUAUUGCAAUUUAAUUAUCACUAUUUCAUUUUUCCAUAAAUAAUUUAUAUUCUUUGCAAUAGUAAUGUAUCACUAAUAAAUCUUCCUAGAUUUAACUCCAUCUUCCAAACAUAAUCAAAUAAUCCCAACAUUUCAGGCCUUGAACUUAUUUUAAAUUCUUGUCCUUAUUAAUUCCAACCUUUCUAUGUGCAUAUCAAUAAUUUUAUAAUUCCUAAAAAUAAAUUCUAGUUUAUUUUAUCUAUUCAUUUAUUUAUAUCAAAACUUCUAUAUUUUCAAUUUCUUAUCUUUCAUUUAUCACUCAACCAAUUAAAUUAAAAUUUUAAAAAUACUGCACUUUAUGGCUUUAAUUUUACCAGGCUAAUUACAUUCUAUCAUUAUAAUAAAUAAUUUUUAAUUUUUCAACUCUUUACAACCACAUUAAUUUAAUCCACUCCAUUUAUUAGUUAUAUCUCAUUUAAUGUAUUAGAUGGAACGGAAUUGGUCAUCACAUUUAGUUUGUAACAUAAUUUGUAUUAAAAAUAUAAUUGUUAUGAGAGAUAAUUUUACAUGAAGCAAUCCAGAAUACAAUGGGCAUGAUGCACCUUCAUCUCCACCAUCCUCACUAGUAUUCACUCCUUCUUCGUCUACUGUAGGCUCAUCUCCAUACCAUCUUCAUCAACAGCAAGUUUAUCGCGGUCUUCAUCUUCAUCACCAUAAACUUCUUCAUCUCCACCCUCCAUCUCUCUCCACCCACGUCCUCAAAUCAACGCCAUCCUUUCUAUCAACUGCGCACACAUCCACCUCCACCACCUUCCAAAACCCAUCGCCCCCACUCCUCUCCACCACCUCCUCCGCAAAUGAGGUUAUUCUGGGUGUCACGUAUUUGAAGAAGGUGCUCCCAAGGUUCAAGCUAGCCAGAAUGUUAAAUACAUAGAGUUGGUGCAGUUGGGGCAGAUGAAACACAUGCACCAGCACUCCAAACACUCCGACGACUUCGGGACUCACAACAUCCUCUGCCAGCAUCUCCGCCCCUUCCGUCAUGUUUGUGCCUAUUACCAGCUGAUAUCAGUAUUUG
rnacentral:lncRNA from 1 species